rnacentral:tRNA from 1 species
ACUUGAGUAGCUUAAUUUAAGAGCGUAAUAUUGAAGAUAUUAAGGUGAUAUCUUAUUCUUUUGUA